GGUCGCAUGGCCUAAUGGAUAAGGCGCUCGCCUCCGGAGCGGGAGAUUCUGGCCAGUGCCGCUA
rnacentral:tRNA from 1 species